AUUGAACGCUGGCGGCGUGCUUAACACAUGCAAGUCGAACGGAGUGGCGAACGGGUGAGUAACACGUGGGUGACCUGCCCUGCACUUCGGGAUAAGCCUGGGAACCUGGGCCUAAUAACGGAUAGUGGGGGAUGGGCGCGCGGCGUAUUAGCUUGUUGGUGGGGUAUUGGCCUUCCAAGGAGGCGACGGGUAGCCGGCCUGAGAGGGUGGACGGCCACAUACGUACGGAGUGAGGGCCCAGACAGCUUCCGGAGGCAGCAGGGGGUAAGAAAGCACGAUGGGCGGGAGCCGGAUGCAGCGACCACGCGUGGGUGGUGGCGGCCUUCUGGUUGUAAGCUCCUUUCACCAUCGACGCGGUAGAUGGAGAAUAAGCACCGGCUAACUACGUGCCAGCCGCCGCGGUAAUAC
rnacentral:rRNA from 1 species